UUCCGUCGGAGGAGCGGCUGAGGUCGUAUUAGCUGGUUGGCGAGGUAACGGCUCACCAAGGCGAUGAUGCGUAGGGGGUGUGAGAGCAUGGCCCCCACCACUGGCACUGAGACACUGGCCAGACACCUACGGGUGGCUGCAGUCGAGAAUCUUCGGCAAUGGGCGCAAGCCUGACCGAGCGACGCCGCGUGCGGGAUGAAGGUCUUCGGAUUGUAAACCGCUGUCGGAGGGGAUGAAAUGCAUCAGGGUUCUCCCUGGUGUUUGACAGAGCCUCGGAGGAAGCACGGGCUAAGUUCGUGCCAGCAGCCGCGGUAAUACGAACUGUGCGAACGUUAUUCGGAAUCACUGGGCUUAAAGGGUGCGUAGGCGGUGGCACAAGUCAGGUGUGAAAUCCCCCAGCUCAACCGGGGAACAGCGCUUGAAACUAGGUCGCUCGAGUGAGGCAGGGGUGCAUGGAACUUCCGGUGGAGCGGUGAAAUGUGUAGAUAUCGGAAGGAACGCCGGCGGCGAAAGCGGUGCACUGGGCCUUGUCUGACGCUGAGGCACGAAAGCUAGGGGAGUGAACGGGAUUAGAU
rnacentral:rRNA from 1 species